UGUUCGGAAAUUUGAAAAAAU
ensembl:piRNA 21ur-12175 ncRNA